rnacentral:sRNA from 4 species
UCAGAUGUUGAACGUGAAGGAUAACGUUGCGUCAGCAACGGCCCGUAGGGCGAGGCGAAGCCGAGUCAUCCUGCACGACCCACCA